UACAGGCUUGCCUGCAGCCUGAUCUUAUGGAGGCAUUUUCUUAAUUGAGAUUCCCUCUUCUCAGAUUACAGCGUGUGUCAAGUUGACCUAAAGCUAUGCAGCACAGAUGUUUUGAGUCAAAGUCCUGUAAGAGGAUUAACAAUAUCACCUAGAUACAAGUGUGUCAGUCAACAGCAGAAACUGUUGGGAUUCUAUGAUCUGAGAAUUCCAAGCAUUCCUUCAGGAUGAGUGAAUUUUCAUAAUUAGCCAGUUCUAGUUAUAGCAAAGUCUGGAAGCUAAAACAGUCCUUCUGGCUUAUAUUUAAAGUUCUUUGUAAAAUUAUCCCUGUCAGAAGCAAUUGAAGAUUUCCAUCAAGGCAGAUUUGCCUUCCAGUUUAUGAAGACUGGUUGUAAGUAUCUAGAUAAAUAUUUCACUAAGAUUCUUAAAAUACUUUUUCCAUUGAAAAAUGUUCUCAAUAAGACACAUGGUUGCCUUCCCAACUGUAAAACCGUUUCAUUCAAUAACUUAGUAGGAUGUAUACAUACAUCGUGAAUUUUUUUCUGAAGAGUUAUGGUUUGAUUAUAAACCUUGGAAUUGAUCCAGAAUUAUUGCUUAUACAUCAUUAUUCUGAGAAAAUGUAACAGCUGGUACGAGAAAAGCAUUUGGAAACAGAGCUGACAGGCUUUCUCCUUGGUUUCCAGAAGAAGGGGGGAUUGUGUAGUUAAAUUAGGCCAAUGCUUUGCUACUUGUUGCUUAUGCAAAACAAAAGUAAAAAUUAGAUGUAUGUACUGGCAUGGGAGAUGGUGACGGCUGCCUUAUGGAGUACAACCAUCUGGGUGGCUGCAGCAAUGACAUUUAUUUUCUCACAGACAGGGGGACUGAAGUCAAAGAUCAAGAUGUUGGCAAUACUGGUUUCUCCUGGAGCUUCCAGCAUAGUUUGCAGAUGGUGACAUCUUCAUAGUGUUCACAUGUCAUCUGUGUGUGCACAUAUGUGCCAGGUCUUAUCUCUAGCAAUGAAGAAUAAAUAAGAGAACUUAUCCCCAAAUACCACCACAUCCUGAGGUACCAGAGUUUGGACUUAAAGGCAUAGAGUGAAGUCAAAAUGUGUUUCUACGAAAAGGAAGAUAGAGUUCCUAAGUCCAUCUGACAGAAGAAAACCACAAACUAUGACUGAAUGGCAGCUCCACUUUAGGCUAUGAUGCAGCUAUGAGAAGAUUCAAGUCUUGUCUCUGCAGAGGUACAGCUCUGCUCCAAGGACUCUUGGGCUGCUCUACAAAUCAGCAGAUGUGACAUGCAGUAGCCCCUCCUUUGUGGCUUCAGUUACCUGUGGACAACUGCAGCUCAAAGCACCUACCUGCAUUUGACUUGGCUCUUUCAAGACAGAAAACCCCCAUGCAGGGAAUGUCUCUACUUCUGUUUAAAUUAGAACACAAGGAUUUCUUUUUUCUUUUUUUCUUUUUUUUUCUUUUUUCUUUUUUUCUUUUUUUUUCUUUUUUCUUUUUUU